UGGCUCUUUUCCUGGAGGAUUGACCC
rnacentral:piRNA from 1 species